rnacentral:rRNA from 1 species
GAUGAACGCUGGCGGCGUGCCUAAUACAUGCAAGUCGAGCGAAUGGAUUAAGAGCUUGCUCUUAUGAAGUUAGCGGCGGACGGGUGAGUAACACGUGGGUAACCUGCCCAUAAGACUGGGAUAACUCCGGGAAACCGGGGCUAAUACCGGAUAACAUUUUGAACCGCAUGGCUCGAAAUUGAAAGGCGGCUUCGGCUGUCCCUUAUGGAUGGACCGGCGUCGCAUUAGCUAGUUGGUGAGGUAACGGCUCACCAAGGCAACGAUGCGUAGCCGACCUGAGAGGGUGAUCGGCCACACUGGGACUGAGACACGGCCCAGACUCCUACGGGAGGCAGCAGUAGGGAAUCUUCCGCAAUGGACGAAAGUCUGACGGAGCAACGCCGCGUGAGUGAUGAAGGCUUUCGGGUCGUAAAACUCUGUUGUUAGGGAAGAACAAGUGCUAGUUGAAUAAGCUGACACCUUGACGGUACCUAACCAGAAAGCCACGGCUAACUACGUGCCAGCCGCCGCAGUAA